rnacentral:rRNA from 1 species
AACGAACGCUGGCGGCAUGCCUAACACAUGCAAGUCGAACGAGACCUUCGGGUCUAGUGGCGCACGGGUGCGUAACGCGUGGGAACCUGCCCUUAGGUUCGGAAUAACUCCCCGAAAGGGGUGCUAAUACCGGAUAAUGUCUUCGGACCAAAGAUUUAUCGCGUUUGGAUGGGCGCGCGUUGGCUUAGCUAGUUGGUAGGGUAAAAGCCUACCAAGGCGACGAUCCAUAGCUGGGCUGAGAGGAUGAGCAGCCACACUGGGACUGAGACACGGUCCAGACUCUUACGGGAGGCAGCAGUGGGGAAUAUUGGACAGUGGGGGAAAGCCUGAUCCAGCAAUGACGCGUGAGUGAUGAAGGCCGUAGGGUUGUAAAGCUCUUUUACCCGGGAUGAUAAUGACAGUACCGGGAGAAUAAGCUCCGGCUAACUCCGUG